rnacentral:rRNA from 1 species
GAUGAACGCUGGCGGCGUGCCUAAUACAUGCAAGUCGAGCGAACAGACGAGGAGCUUGCUCCUCUGACGUUAGCGGCGGACGGGUGAGUAACACGUGGAUAACCUACCUAUAAGACUGGGAUAACUUCGGGAAACCGGAGCUAAUCCCGGAUAAUCUAUUGAACCGCAUGGUUCAAUAGUGAAAGACGGUUUUGCUGUCUCUUAUAGAUGGAUCCGCGCCGCAUUAGCUAGUUGGUAAGGUAACGGCUUACCAAGGCUACGAUGCGUAGCCGAACUGAGAGAGUGGUCGGCCACACUGGAACGGAGACACGGUCCAGACUCCUACGGGAGGCAGCAGUAGGGAAUCUUCCGCAAUGGGCGAAAGCUUGACGGAGCAACGGCGCGUGAGAGAUGAAGGUCUUCGGAUCGUAAAACUCUGUUAUUAGGGAAGAACAAAUGUGUAAGUAACUAUGCACGUCUUGACGGUACCUAAUCAGAAAGCAACGGCUAACUACGUG